GAUGAACGCUAGCGGUAGGCUUAACACAUGCAAGUCGAGGGACCGGCGCACGGGUGCGUAACGCGUAUGCAACUCGCCUCACAGAGGGGGAUAACCCGUCGAAAGACGGACUAAUACCGCGUACUGUGAGAUAGGCAUGCGUCGCAUUAGCUAGUUGGUGAGGUAACGGCUCACCAAGGAAACGAUGGGUAGGGGAACUGAGAGGCUGAACCCCCACACUGGUACUGAGGCACGGACCCGACGCCUACGGGGGGCAGCAGAAAGGUAUAUUGGUCAAUGAGCGCGGGCCUGAACCAGCCACGUCGCGUGAAGGAUGACUGUGUGUGGAGUUUAAACUUCUUUUGUAGGAGAAAAUGUACCCUACGAAUAAGCAUCGGCUAACUCCGUGCCAGCAGCCGCGGUAAUAC
rnacentral:rRNA from 1 species